CGGGGGGAUGCCGGACGCGGCCGGGGCCGCCUCAGGGCCGCGGCGGUGGGGCUGACAGCGGGAGGCGGCGGCGCCCGCUGGUGCCUAUGGGCAGCAUUCCGGCCAGCCGCUCGGCCGCGACUCGCUUGGGGCGGCCCGUUAGCUUCGGUCCGGCGGCUUUUGGAAGCAGAAAUCCCUCCAUCUCCUUCCACCGCUUCCGCGGGCAGCGGGUGUUCCGCCGAGCCGCGGAGGAGGACCAGGGGGACUCCUUCCCCCACCUCUUAAUCGUGUGCGCCUUCCCUUCCCAGGCAAGGGAAACUUGUGCUGGCAGACGGCCAUAGCGGUGCCGGUACCGGAGGAGGAUUGGAGCCUCCGGAAGCAAAGUUCUGUGACACUCCGACUCUGUGUACGAUAGCAGUCAGUGCACUACAGAACUUUGUCUCCGGUGGCUGCGGCCCCGGGAGCCUCAGGUGGACACGUCACGGGACGGCGGGCCCGGGCUCUGCACCCUCGGAAUAAAGGCUUUGCUGUCGUGGCCUCCCGCUAUGAAGUUCUGUUGGGGUUGUUUCUGGGUUUUCUUCUUUUCUUUUCCAGGGUAUAAAUAGCGCAACAUCUGGGUACCCGGGGUUAUGUCGGUGCAGCCAGGCCGGCCUGGCUGUCGGCAUAAAUGUGAAACUAACUGGUGCUCGGUGCAACUGAAUCAGCGGUGGGUUGGCAAGUGGCUCUGUGUUAACUCUUUCCUCAUGCGUCCUGGGAACGUGCUCAGCAGGCCAAACCCCCUGGCAGUCAUUGAAGAGCUGAAAACACAUCUUUCUGAGAAAACGUAUGUCUUAAACCUGUGGACUGUCUGGAUAAAAUUUGCAUGAAAACAUGAAAAACAACUCUAUCUUAAAUGAUGCAAAAAAGUAAAAGAAUGCUGAAUUCAAUAAAGAGUGGAGCAAAUAUACCCAGAAUAUCCUGAAACUUCAGUUAGUGAACAGUUAACUGGAAAUGAUGGUUAAAUUUCGGGAGAUGUGAAAUAUGAUUCAGGUUGUUUCUGCAUCAGUUGUGACACUUACAACUUUCAGUCAUGGCCUGGAAGCUUUGCAAAUGUUUUAAGACUACACUUGCCCCUUCUGCAUGCAGAGGGUUAGAUCCUCAGCUGCCAUAAGAGUUGUAACUGAUGAAUGUUUGUAUUUAAGCAUCUUGCAUCAAGUAUAGAUUUUUUUCUA